GAUGAAGAACGUAGCGAAAUGCGAUAAGUAGUGUGAAUUGCAGACUUCAGUGAAUCAUCGAAUCUUUGAACGCACAUUGCGCCCUUUGGUAUUCCAAAGGGCAUGCCUGUUCGAGCGUCAUUUGUACCCUCAAGCUUUGCUUGGUGUUGGGCGUCUUGUCUCUAGCUUUGCUGGAGACUCGCCUUAAAGUAAUUGGCAGCCGGCCUACUGGUUUCGGAGCGCAGCACAAGUCGCACUCUCUAUCAGCAAAGGUCUAGCAUCCAUUAAGCCUUUUUUUCAACUUUUGACCUCGGAUCAGGUAGGGAUACCCGCUGAACUUAAGCAUAUCAAUAAGCGGAGGA
rnacentral:misc_RNA from 1 species